GACGAACGCUGGCGGCGUGCUUAACACAUGCAAGUCGAACGAUGAAGCCGGAGCUUGCUCCGGUGGAUUAGUGGCGAACGGGUGAGUAACACGUGAGCAAUCUGCCCUUGACUCUGGGAUAACUGCGGGAAACUGUAGCUAAUACCGGAUACGACACCUUGGGGCAUCCCAGGGUGUGGAAAGAAUUUCGGUCAAGGAUGAGCUCGCGGCCUAUCAGCUAGUUGGUGAGGUAAUGGCUCACCAAGGCGACGACGGGUAGCCGGCCUGAGAGGGUGACCGGCCACACUGGAACUGAGACACGGUCCAGACUCCUACGGGAGGCAGCAGUGGGGAAUAUUGCACAAUGGGCGAAAGCCUGAUGCAGCAACGCCGCGUGAGGGAUGAAGGCCUUCGGGUUGUAAACCUCUUUUAGCAGGGAAGAAGCGAAAGUGACGGUACCUGCGGAAAUAGCACCGGCUAACUACGUGCCAGCAGCCGCAGUAA
rnacentral:rRNA from 1 species